rnacentral:lncRNA from 1 species
GGAUUUCACGACGCCUCAUAAAAAGCCUGAGUGAUAGGUUGGAAGGUUAUCCUUUAUAAAGGCUGUAGGUGUUCCUAGUUUUGUGGAAGCUUUGUGCUUCUUGUUCGGCAUUAUGCACCACACCGUGGGUGUCGUUCAAAGGUGCUACAAGGCCUUCAUGUUGAUACUCGAUAGUCUUUUAAAUGUCUGGCAAUACUCGUUUUUGCAUUUUAUGCACGGAAUGAGCAAGUGUCGUACUUCAAUCCGUUUCUUAAUCCAGACGUAUGAAACACUCCGACGGAUUAGCGGUGGAUUGGCGCGGCUUAAAAAUACCUUAAUCCGCGACUUUUAAUCCAAGUGGAAACACCCCCAAUCUGCGGUAAUGUCAGCCCCCUGACAGCCCCGGUUCCACAAUCAAUAAUUUGGUUUCAAUUAUGCCCGUCGAUUUUGCAUUACAAACCUGAAUAAUAUGUUCCUCGGUGCAGAAAUAAGUUUAUUCCUAAUCCAUGGACGCUGGGGUCCUCCGGGCCCCACCCAGACCACCGCCGAUGAGUUUCAAUAUUUGUACAAACGACGGGUUUGGGGUAUGUGAUGACACGCACGCACGCAACAGUGUCCAGAAUCGUGUCAUGGCGCACGCUUAGAUGCUCUGAAAUGCAGUCCAAUUGGCUGCUGCUUCAAAAGGGUUGCAGAGCCCAAAAAUGUACCGAUAACGCCCGCUGGAGUGCUCAUUAAAUGGAUCGUUCGUACACCAUCAUUCGUUUUGAUCAUAGCCGGGCGUCGUGUUGAAAGACAGUCGUCAAGACUCUCCAGGCUGCAGUUAUGCCACACAGCAGGUCAGAAGCAGUCCUAUACCUGGUUGAUUCGUGCGUGUGACCUUUGUGGCAGUGUCCAUGGCAUAUAAGUGCUACAAGACGG